CAGUUGCUCCUGGUAUCAACGCUGCAAUGGGGACUAUUCCUGGAGUUCAGAAUUACAGAGUGGACGAGAAAACUAAGAAAUACUGUAAUCCUUUUGUUAAACCAAGCCAGCCUUCUCCAUCAGGGAUUUAUAAUAUGAAUGUGAGCGCAUCCGUCUCAGGGGAAAAGUACCUUCUUCAGGCAAACAAGAAAAGGAAGGAAUAUCCCAAAGUCGACGUGCGAUUGCCUGAACUAAACUAUAACCAUCUUCCUGAACUGAGAGCUUUAGAAGGCAUAGCUCGAAAUUCUAGGCUAAUAAAGAAAGAGAACAAAUGUCUUUCAGAAUCUCGAAUUCCCUCUCUGGCUGCCAUUGACCUGCAUGCAUCCAGUGUUGCAUCACACCAGGGAGCAGGAUCACCUGUGUCAGAUGAGUCCGAGGCUGACUUGCCUCGAAUGGAGCACCAGCACUGAGACCCAUUUUAAUCCUGAACAGGAUGCUGCCAGCACUUGAGAUGACGUCCUCUUGCACGAGAGCACUGAUGCCCCAGAGGAGAUCUGCGGUUUGACUGUUUCCUUCUGGAAACCUACGCUUUCUAAGAAAGGCUUUGCAGAAGAAGGGAAGACAGACUUCCAAAGACCUCAAAGGAAGAUUGAACAAGUGCCCCUUCACCUUUCCAACCUAUGAUGCUAUUUCAAGAUAUAUCCGUGGAACGAUAGUGACAUGGUUCUUGUUACAUGAAUGUGUAUUUGAUAUUAGUAGAUUGUGUAUUUAAAGUUAUCUGAGAUUAAAAGUCAGUAAAAAAGGAGAGAAUCAUUAUAAAAAGUCAUGAUUUUAUGCAUUGAACUUUGUAUUAUCUAUAUAAGUGUUUACAGUUGAAGAAAAUGAAAAGAAGCUAGGAUCUGUGAGAUAAAAGUUUCCUUUACCUUAACUAUAAGAACACAUUUUAAAAGCUUGCUUCUAGGUGUGAGUGGUGUGAGACUAUGGUCGCGCUGUCUUUGUUUUCUGUCAUUGUUAAUUGCUGAUCUAAGAACUGUGCUAUUGCAACUUUUGUUACUAGUGACGGUGAUGUUGGUAAGUCUUCCACACUGAGAGGUUCUGGUGCUGAUGUCCUUCCUGAAAGGACAUGAUGGAAGUCGCAGGGGUUUGUGGGCACACCUGUAAGUGAACAACUGAGCUUCUCCUUGAGGGAAAAGGUAUAAUAUAUAUAUAUAUGGAGAGGUGGGAGCAGGCAGAACUGCCUGUCUAUCUGUCUGUCUGUCUCUCCAGGCUAGGGCAGUAGGCACUGAAUUACCCCACCAAAGAGGCUUUUAGAGGCUUUGGUGGAGUCCACUCUUGUCUCUGGUCGUUUGAGGUUAGUGGUGGACAACCCACAGCAGUUGAUUGCCCUCUCACCUCAAAUGCUUAGCCUUACCCAGAAGCCUUGUCCCAAGGCGGAAGGUCGUUUACGUGUAUUCCACAUACGCUCUCUGAUGCACAGCUUCACCACCUCUUAGGUGGGAGGAUUGGACCAUUUGGAUUCCAGGUCUCAGUGUCCGGGCUCUCAGCCAUGCUCCCACUUAUCAUUGGAGAAAACAGUUGUUCAGGGGCCUGAAUUUGCGUGGUGGUUUUGCAUUAACCAACGAAUGGAACCUUUUUAUUUAAAGCUGUUGGCUACAACUUAGCCUAAGACUUGAACAAGAGUUCUUCAUUCCCUUGGGGGACUUAAAAAUGAAAUCCUAAUCUGGACACUACGAGUAGACAUUCAGGAUGAGGCAAAAUAAAGGGUUCCAACAUAAAAAAAUCUGCUGGUAGUAGGUGAAUAAAUAUUUUUUAUUUAAAAGCUGUAUUUUAAGCCUCUGACUAAGGGUUUUCCUAGGCUAGUAAGACUAACAUGCUGAUAAAACUCACUAUGUCAGUAGUAAUUGGCUCUCUACUAAAAUACCACUAUUAAUUGUUAUUUUGAAAAACAUUGCACAGCCAGCAGCAUAGGGAGGAGUCAGUACCUGAAACUAAGCAGCACCCAGUUAAUUUCAGGCUGUUCUCAUGUCAAGGCCAGUGUGAGGAUAUCGGCCUGACAACGGGGGUCUGCCUCAGCUCGCUUAUGAUUUGUAUCCUUGAGUUUGGUAUCUUUGGCCUAUUAAGACACAUUAUGAACUUUACAAUUAAGACUUUAAAAAUCAUUUCUUGAGUCCUUACUGAUAUCUGAAGAUCAUAUUUUGUUAGACCUUGGUGUGGAACUAAAGAAGUAAACACUGCUCCAACGAAGUCUGGAGGUACUAAACCGACAUAUUCUCUUUUCAGUGCGCGGGUGGUGAGUCUCUUCCCCCAAGAAUGUGAUGUACGCAGACAUGCUCAUGUGAAACCAGUUUCUGUACUUUUGGGAGACGAUGGGCUGCUGUGCCCACCUGUGUUUAAUAAAUAUUAUCUAACCAAGCAUGA
rnacentral:lncRNA from 1 species